UUUGUUGUUUUAUUCUCAAUGAAUAAACUACGUUUCUCCUCCGAAAAUCACCUCUGCCUAUCUCUGAAUUCUACUUCUCUGCGCUUUUCCUCCCAAAAUCACCUUUGCGUAUCUCUACGUUUCUCCUCCGAAAAUCACCCCUGCGUUUCUCGGAGUCCUGCUUCUCUGCCUUCGCUGUUGCUACAUGAAGUCAUUGCAAAUGCUGAAGAGUUGCCGUUGCCGUCCUCCAUCUGUUGCCGGCACCAUUGAUCAUCUCAGUUGUUGUCGCCGCUCCGUCUAGUUGUCGUCACUGGUCAUUUUUUCCUCCAUUUAAAGAGUAAGAAUCGUUAUUUCACUUGACGUUGAUCCACCGUUCCUCCGUAAUGCACUGAUUGUUGCUUAUUUUCUCAUCUCAUUCAAAAAAUUUUGCUUCUCAUCUUAUUGUUUCUCUUGUAUUAUUAUUUCAUUCAUUUCCUUUUUUUGUUUCUAGUAUUUUGGUUUUUUAAUCAACUGUGAUACCUAGAGUUUUCAGAAUCAGAACAGAAACAAUUCUUGUUAUAGAAGAUCUACUCAGUGAAUCACUGUAAGUAGUUGAUUAAUUUUGAAUUUCCAGAUAACAUUGUGUUGUUUUCUAUUUCAUGAAUUUUGCAUCCAAUUCUGAUGGCUUCUUCAUUCGGUAUUCAAUAUCUUCUAAUGGAUCUUGAUUAGGCUGAAAAAAUAAAUAUAUAUUUUUUUAAUGAAAGAAUUGACUGAUAAAAUUGGCUCAGAUAGGCCAACCUACUAUAUGGGUUGAACUGAGUUAACUGAUGGAAGGUCGCAUGCUAUUUGAUUUAUAGGCAUAAAUCAUAACCACUUUCUCGCAAGUUUUGCACCAAUGAUUCAUUUCAAUACUGUAACGUUUGGGGUUAUAGGGCAAUUAGCAAUGUAGCUAAUUUAAAAAAUUCAGUACAGAACAGUUUUGUUAUUGGCUUCCCAAUAAGCUUUAUGCAUUCUUCUUGUAAGAUACAAUUUGGUGCUACCUUCUUCUUACCUGGUUCAUAUAUAGCAGAAAUUACCAUCUCAAGUCUGAACUGGAGCAAUUAAUUUCCCACUGACUCUGGGAGCUUUUAUCCAGGGGAGAUGAUGGUUUUUACACUAUGGUUGGAGAAGGAUUAGGUGCAGGAUAUAAUAUAAAUGUUCCUUGGGAGCAUGGGCGAUGUGGUGAUGCAGACUACCUGGCAGUUUGGGACUAUAUUUUGAUUCCUGUUGCCAGGGAUUUUAAUCUAGACAUUAUCCUAAUCUCUUGUGAAUUUGAUGCAGGUUUGCUCUAGUCAUGAUAACUGCUAAAUCUUCACAUUUCUCAGGGCCACCAUUAUAUUCUUUAUUUCUUUAGAUUUGUAUUAAAUCGAUGAGACCUAGGACCUUUUCAUUUACUGAAUGGCAGCUAUAGGUGGAGGUGGCUGUAUAUUGUUGUCCUGCCAUUUUCCCAAGAACUUGCCAAUGGUGAAAACAAUCCCUUAUUAUUUCAGAAGAACAAAUUGAGGAAGAUUUUUUUCUGCUUUCUGUAUUGUAUUUAUAUUGGGAGCCUUCUUAGCUAUGUAACCAUUGAAGAUGUUCCUUGAUAAUGAUGCAUUCCAUUUGUCAAUUUUUUCUAGGAAAACUGUUAAAUUUGGGUAAUACACGCGUUGCAGUUGCCUCUGCUAACUAUUUUCACAUAUUAAAUAUCAUCGGUCCAUCUCUUGGAACAGCCACAUGUGAGGUUGUCAAAUCACACCAUAUGGAUAUUCUGUUAUGAUGAAAAAGCUAAUGGAGUUUGCUCAGGGAAAGAUAGUGAUGGCUUUAGAAGGAGGCUAUAAUCUUGAUUCUCUGGUAAAUUCGGCGCUGGCAUGUGUCAAAGUUUUAUUAGAAGAUGAGCCUGUAGUUGGAACUUCAGAGGCCUACCCAUUUGAGUCGUGGACAUGGCGUGUGAUACAAAAGGUGAUGAUAUAAUGUAGCAUUGGUUAUUUCUCAUUUACUUUUGGUAUCUUCACUUCUAUUCCUUUUUUGCCAAGUUAACCUUUACUUCUGCUAUUAUGUUCGCCAAGAAUUAAGCCCAUUCUGGCCAAUAUUGGCUGAUGAAUUACCAAAGACCAUUAAGAAGGCAACUCCCAUUCAGGUGAUACUUUCUUAACUUUUGAACUUUCAACUAUAUGGAUGUGCUUAUUGAAGUCAAAUUUGCAAAAUGAGACCUGUGAUAGUCAAAUAAGCUGCAUUAGCUAUAUGAUUAGACUUUAUAUUGCAUAUCUUACUGUUAGGAAUCAUAUAUAUAUACAAGUUUUCUAUACAUAAAUCAUAGAGCUGCAUUAGCUAUAUGGUUGGACUUUAUAUUACAAAAAUUUAGGGAGAUGCUUUUCCAUUAGUAGGAAAAAGGGAAUAGAUAAGCUUUGAAUCAUAUUGAUGAAGGUAUAUGUGUAAUGUACCAAGAAAGGACUAUCCUGUAUUGUCCAAUACAGGAAUUUCAGAUACCAUUCCUAAUUGGUUUUGGAAAUUGUCUUCUCAUAUAUUCUUUGUAGACCUGUCUCACAACCAAAUCCGUGGUAGCUUUCCAGGAUUGUCAAGAAUACAAGCUGAUAGUGCAGCAAUAUAUUUAGGUCACAAUCGCUUAACUGGACUACUACCCCAUUUCACAUCUGGUGUAGUUGAACUCGACCUUUCCAACUACUUGUUUUCUGGGUCUAUCACCCAUUUCCUUUGUGAUCAGUUCAGUGAACCAAAUAUACUAGAAUAUCUUGAUCUCUCAAACAAUCUUCUGUCACUACAGAUUCCAGAUUGUUGGAUGAACUGGCAACCGCUGAAUGUGCUGAAUCUGGGGUACAACAACCUAAGUGGGAACCUUCCAAAAUCCCUUGGUUCUCUAACCGAGCUCCAGUCAUUGCACUUGCGUAACAAUAGGUUGACUGGAGAGUUACCUUCAUCUCUGCAAAAUUGCACAGAACUGUUGUUUAUCAACAUUGGCCAGAAUGAAUUCUUUGGACCUUUUACAUAACAAGUUGUCAGGAUCCAUACCUCAGUGUUUUAACAACUUCAGUGCCAUGGCUUCUGAUCAAAAGUCAAGUGGCUAUAUUGGUUUCUUCAGUUCUACACAGACCCAACACGUUGACAGCCCUACUACCAUUAAGAUAUUGCAUAAAAUAGUUUUAAGGGGUUGCAACUUUGGACGAAUCCACAGACGGCAGACUAACCAAGUCCAGUUCAGGUUAGACCCAGUCGAAAGACCCUAUGGGGUUUGGUUUGAAAUUAGUUCUGGACAUUCUACCAUGUCCUGAAGCAAAUCCAACCUACAUAUUUUUUUUUAAUGCAUACCUACACCUACAUUAAAGUUAAGUCAUGUUCAUAUUUUGAAUCGAACCUUUACAUUUCCAGGUUGGAUUUGAGCUAACCCAGCACAAGUUGUAACCUCAGUAAUUUAGUGGCCUUGUUUUAUAGAAAAUGAAGUGGUUGAACUACUCAAUGGUUUAUUGCUUUGUCUUGAAUAAAGUUGAGGUUGGGUUGAUUAUUAUAAAUUCCUUAACUGUUGGGUCUGUGUAGAACUGAAGAAACCAAAUGGAAUUUUUGGAAUCCCUUGACUUUUCAGCAAACCAACUUUAUGGUGCUAUUCCUCAGAGCUUGUCCAAUUUGACCUUCUUGAGUCACUUGAACUUGUCAAAUAAUAAUUUGUCAGGAAGAAUUCCAUCUAGCACACAAAUUCAAGGUUUUACUGCAUCCAGUUUUCUUGGUAACAAAGGACUCUGUGGACCUCCACUCACAAAAGGCUGCACUGGAGAUGAUAUGUCCCAAAUUCCAACGGUUGGUGGUGGUGGUGGUGGAGCUGAAGGAGAUAAAGAUGACAAUGGAGUAGGAGUGGCUGCAGAUACUUUUAUCAUUGCCAUGGUUUUGGGGUUUGUGAUGGGUUUUUGGGGAGUCUUCGGUCCGAUUUUAUUCAUCAAGUCAUUGAGGUUUACAUUCUUCCGAUUCUUGGAUAGAGUGAAACAAAAUCUUUGUGGUGGGUAACCAAGAAAGGACUAUCAAUGUGCCAAAACCUCAAAAAGAAGCACUCUUGUUAUCAUCAUCUUCAGUGUCG